AAGUCGUAACAAGGUUUCCGUAGGUGAACCUGCGGAAGGAUCAUUAACACGUAUCCAAACGUUAAAACACCCCCCGUGAACCUGAGCCUGGAAAAUUGUAGUGAUUCAGAGACCUCUGGCUACGUGAGAUCGAGCGGUAGUUCUAGAGGCAAUGUUUCCCCAAGCAGUCAGUGUCGGAAAGUGUCAUUGAUUGUGCAAAGAUAGCGCUUCUACGAUUCCUGUAGACCGUACACUCGGGCAGGAGCUUUGCCAAAGGGUCCCAUGCCCCCUAAUAACCCCACAGUUUAAUGUGAAGCUCAAUGUAAUACAUUGGGUAAAAAAACCGAACAACUGUUAACAAUGGAUAUCUUGGUUCGC
rnacentral:misc_RNA from 1 species